GACAGUGAGAUGGCAAGGCUUCAUUCCUCCAGUCUCACUGAACGUCAGCAAACAGAGUAGCAGAGAAAAGUCUCAGAUCACUGCACGCUGACAUGUUGGACUGACCUGAUAGGAAUCCACAGAUAAGGAAGAAGAGACGCAGCACAUGGAGAGGGCCAAACCAAGUGAGUGAGAAACCACAGGAGUGUCGGAUUCAGGAAAACAACGCAAACAAGCUGCCGACGUUACAGUCUCUCACGCUCUAGAUGCAACAUGUGAUGUGGACAGCAGAGCGUUGAUGGGAUCUGUCAGCGUAGCCAGCCGCUGACAGGGAGACAGAGAAACCUGCCCAGUGAGACAUGGCUCCUCUGUGUCUCCUCAACUAGAAUUCCUGGCAAUUCCAGCCAGCUCAGAUUGUUAUCAGAUCCAAAGACGUCCUGCCACUCAGCCCAAUUUUUUUUGUUCUUACAGAGCAGGAUAGAAUGUGCACCGGAGCAGUGUGAGCUGAGACCUCAGCCUCGUGUCAUCAAUAUUCUUCACAACCUCAUGAAAAGUGAUAUAUUGGGAGUAAUGAUUCGGGGGUGGUGCUGCAAAACCAAGGCCAGUUGUCGAUACACUCCUGUGGUUUAUUGACAAGCAGCUCACAAUGACCAGAGCAAAGGCCAGACUACAGCAGUGUUGAAUGGCGUCAACCACCUGAGGAGCAUACCAGCAAAAAGGAUGCAGGAAGCACUGCACUUAAUAAUUUGAAGUGUUCUUAUUGAAACCAAUGUGGCAUUUGAACAACAGGUUCAAUAUUUAUGGUAGUUACCUUUUCAUACAUUUACUCAUGAUUUAUCAAGACUUCUGUGUUUAAUGGUGAGAAUAUGCACCUGUAUCGGGUUACUGUGUUUGAAAUAUAUAUGGUGGUGUUGUUGCAAUUCAUUUUCAAAAUCAUAUUACAGUCAAAUUUAGAGGAAAUGUGUUCAAUAUUGACAGAAAAACCUGUUUAGAUUAGUUCAACAUAGAUGAGGAAAAAAUCACAAAUAUGUUCAUUGAGUUUAUUGAGAGAAUUUAGUUAAAUAAACCUUAUCUGCACUAA